GCGGGCAGCCCCCGGGGCGGCACGCGGCGCGAGCUGGGCAGCGGCCUCCAGCCAAGCCCGUCCCCGCAGGCUGCUCCUUCGGCGGGAAGGUCUAUGCCUUGGACGAGACGUGGCACCCGGACCUGGGGGAGCCCUUCGGGGUGAUGCGCUGCGUGCUGUGCGCCUGCGAGGCGCCUCAGUGGGGUCGCCGUACCAGGGGCCCUGGCAGGGUCAGCUGCAAGAACAUCAAACCAGAGUGCCCAACCCUGGCCUGUGGGCAGCCGCGCCAGCUGCCGGGACACUGCUGCCAGACCUGCCCCCAGGAGCGCAGCAGUUCGGAGCGGCAGCCGAGCGGCCUGUCCUUCGAGUAUCCGCGGGACCCGGAGCAUCGCAGUUAUAGCGACCGCGGAGAGCCAGGCGCUGAGGAGCGGGCCCGUGGUGACGGCCACACGGACUUCGUGGCGCUGCUGACAGGGCCGAGGUCGCAGGCGGUGGCACGAGCCCGAGUCUCGCUGCUGCGCUCUAGCCUCCGCUUCUCCAUCUCCUACAGGCGGCUGGACCGCCCUACCAGGGUCCGCUUCUCAGACUC
rnacentral:sRNA from 1 species